UACAGGGGGGGCAAGCGUUGUUCGGAAUUACUGGGCGUAAAGGGCCAGUAGGCGGCCAACUAAGUCACACGUGAAAUCCCCAGGCUUAACCUGGGAACUGCGUGUGAUACUGGAUGGCUUGAAUUCGGGAGAGGGAUGCAGAAUUCCAGGUGUAGCGGUGAAAUGCGUAGAUAUUGGGAAGAACACCGGUGGCGAAGGCGGCGACCUGGUCCUUUACUGACGCUGAGGCGCGAAAGCGUGGGGAGCAAACAGG
rnacentral:rRNA from 1 species